CGUUGAAACGCCGAUUCCCGUACGAUCAUCGAAGUUAAGCAACGUUGGGCAUGGUCAGUACCUAGAUGGGUGACCGAUUGGGAAUACCAGGUGCUGUAAG